GACGAACGCUGGCGGCGUGCUUAACACAUGCAAGUCGAACGGAAAGGCCCCUUUGGGGGUACUCGAGUGGCGAACGGGUGAGUAACACGUGAGUAACCUGCCCUUGACUUCGGGAUAACUUCAGGAAACUGGGGCUAAUACCGGAUAGGAAUCCUUGCUGCAUGGUGGGGGUUGGAAAGCUUCGGCGGUUUUGGAUGGACUCGCGGCUUAUCAGCUUGUUGGUGGGGUAGUGGCUUACCAAGGCUUUGACGGGUAGCCGGCCUGAGAGGGCGACCGGCCACAUUGGGACUGAGAGACGGCCCAGACUCCUACGGGAGGCAGAAGUGGGGAAUAUUGCACAAUGGGCGGAAGCCUGAUGCAGCAACGCCGCGUGCGGGAGGACGGCCUUCGGGUUGUAAACCGCUUUCAGCAGGGGCGAAGCUUGUGGUGACGGUACCUGCAGAAGAAGCACCGGCUAACUACGUG
rnacentral:rRNA from 1 species